UACGUAGGGGGCAAGCGUUGUCCGGAUUCAUUGGGCGUAAAGAGCGUGUAGGCGGCCAGGUAGGUCUGCUGUGAAAACUCGAGGCUUAACCUCGAGAUGUCGGCGGAAACCAUCUGGCUAGAGUCCGGAAGAGGAGAAUGGAAUUCCCGGUGUAGCGGUGAAAUGCGCAGAUAUCGGGAAGAACACCCGUGGCGAAGGCGGUUCUCUGGGACGGUACUGACGCUGAGACGCGAAAGCGUGGGGAGCGAACAGG
rnacentral:rRNA from 1 species